rnacentral:rRNA from 1 species
CUACGGGUUGCAGCAGUGAGGAAUAUUGCACAAUGGAGGAAACUCUGAUGCAGCAACGCCGCGUGGAGGAUGACGCAUUUCGGUGUGUAAACUCCUUUUAUAUGUCAAGAAAAUGACGGUAGCAUAUGAAUAAGCACCGGCUAACUCCGUGCCAGCAGCCGCGGUAAUACGGAGGGUGCAAGCGUUACUCGGAAUCACUGGGCGUAAAGGACGCGUAGGCGGGAUAUCAAGUCAGGUGUGAAAUCCUACAGCUUAACUGUAGAACUGCACUUGAAACUGGUAACCUAGAGUAUGGGAGGGGGAGAUGGAAUUAGUGGUGUAGGGGUAACAUCCGUAGAUAUCACUAGGAAUACCUAAAGCGAAGGCGAUCUCCUGGAACAUAACUGACGCUAAGGCGUGAAAGCGUGGGGAGCAAACAGGAUUAGAUACCCCGGUAGUC